UCAACCAAACCAUCAUUUCUGUCACCAGAUUUAAAUGUCAUGCCUGAUUUAUGUACUUUUUUAACUUUGGAAUCUUCCUCAUCACUGUCCUCAUCUAGAAUGACAAAACCUUCCAUAUUCCUUGGGAAAUGACACUGUUAAGAAAGAUAAAUAUACUCUGCAACAAUAAUCCUGCAGUACCCCUUCAAUUUGUUUUAUUUUUUGGAGACCCGAAUUGGAGAUCAUAAUCCCUCUGCUUCCCUUUCCUAUUAUGCCUGACUUGUCUUUGUAUUUAUUAUCUCAAAAUAGCCUUUUCUUGGGCUAUAAAUGCAACAGCCUGUAUGAAGCCCUAGGGUCAGUCCUCAGCACUACCCCCCGCCCCGAGCUGAGGACUGAAUCCAGGGCCACCGAGCUAAAUCCCCAACCCAGUCCUCAGCACUAUCCUUAGGAGUGAAUGUAUAAUUUAAGAAAGGAAAAUUUUCUGCUAGACUCAUUAAUGACUUCAGAAAGAACUCAGUUUGUUUUUUGUUUUUGUUUUUGUUUUUUUAAGAAAGGAAACUCUUAAGCAGCACAGCAGGAUGGGUCAGUAGCAAGACUACAGAUUGUGGCCAAUUUAGCUUGUCAGAAAGUUAAAUUAUGGGGGUUAGGGUUGAUGCUCAGUGAUGAAGUGGUUUCUUUUAAUGUGUUGCCAUUAGUUUGACCCCUCAUGUAAAAACAAACAACCCCCUAGAAAAACAAAUCCACCAAGCUUCAGUGACACAAAGCUCACUAAAAUUCAUACUUCACCAAAUGGAGAGCCUGCCUCAUCUAAGAAAAUAUCAGAUGGAAGAGAAUUUAUAUUCAGGUUGGAAAGAUGGCACAGUGGUUAAGAGCUGUGACUGUUCUUCCAGAGGAUCUGGGUUCAAUUCCUAGACCGCACAUGGCAGCUCAAAAGUGUCAGUAACUCCAGUUCCAUGGGAUUUGAUGCCCUCAUACACCAUAUGCAGUCAAAACACCAAUGCACAUAAAGUAAAAUAAAAAUAGAGAAAUCACUAGAAAACAAAAAAGACUCAGUGUAGAGAGUCUGCUUAAUCCUUGCCAGGCCCAAGGUUCUAUACUCAGCACCAGUAAAAUAAGUAAUAAUAAAAACAGAAAUUUCAUAUUUUAUACUUUCUCAGACAAAUAUUCUAAGAAACGAGUUAAAGAACUUACUUAAUUGAGUAAUGUUCUCUGAACUUAACAGUUCCUAUGAUAUAACUUCCAUUUAGAACAAAACAUCAGCUUGAUAUAGUGAAAUGGUUUAACAAUUUUGGAGCAGACCGACACUAUUGAUCUGAUACUUAAGAGUCACGAACUAGGACAAGAUACUGAAAUUCUUCAUGCUUAAAUUCUUAAUUUAUGGAAUGGGGAUAAUAAGACCACCCAUUAACUAUGGUUAUUAUAAAGAUAAAGAGAGUUUAGAAAAAAAUCACAACAUGAGUUCAAGUCAUUAGGUCUUAAAAGGGAAACAUUACAAUUAUAUUUUCUAGGCAGAAAAAUUAAAAGUUAUGUGACUAAGUCAUCAAUAUUUUAAAAGUAAAUACUAGUUUGGGAAUAGCAGAAUGAAUCAAUAGAAAUGAUGACAAAAACUCUUGAUACCAUGAAGGGGGGG